CUCCAGACAGUUCCUUAUUUCCAGUCUCUGAGCAGAACACACCGUUUCAGAGCCUAUUUCCAGAACAGCGUGCUUCCUCCUCAGCAGAGGCAUUGACUCACACUAAGGAAUGUAUUCCAUUACCGCCUUGCUGGCUCGCUGCAGCUGCAUGUAGAACCAGUUAGUUGCUCUGGAGACAGUGGCCAACAAACAGAAAAAAUCACCAACUCCUUCAGGACUGGUCAGAGCAGUUUAACGACUGCAUGCACACUUAAAAUUUUAAAACUUUCCUGUUCUGUUGUCUUCUAAGAGGGGCCUCAACUGUUCCCUAAUAACAAAUUGAGCUGUGGUUAAUCUUGGUGAAGUUCCACUGACUGGCUGCUGGAGAAGAGAGGGGCAGAGCCUAAGCUUGUUGGUGUGGGUAAUGCUUAUCCAGCAUUGACAUCAGUAUAAUCCUGAAAUCGACUAUAACAACCAAUAGGAGUAUUUGGAAAAUAAGGACUGUCACUCCAAGUAGGAAAAAAACCAAACCACAACAGUUUGACCGGCG
rnacentral:lncRNA from 1 species